rnacentral:misc_RNA from 1 species
UAGAAGUGUCAUAAGGGCCCACUGAAAUACAUUUAUUUUUAUCAAACAUACAAAGCCAUUGCAUGAAAUGAAAGUAUUCUAGCUGCUCAAAUGCUGCUAUUAUUUACAAAAUGUUAAAUUGAUCAGGUAACCAUCAUCGUUUCCUCCCGGGAGGGGAAAAGUAACAAAUCAAGCAGGAUGUUUUAAUAAAUCAGGGUGUAUUAAUGCUGGCCUAAUAUGUAUUUAAAUAGGAAGAACAGUGGUAGUUGACAUGCAUCACAUGUUCAACAAUGAAACUUCAUCACAAGUGUACUGGCUGGGAAUAGCAUUGAAGGAAAAAAAAAAUCAAAUUAAAAAGGGAAUAGUGGGCCAUGCAGAAGGGAAGGCAAUUGAGUAUAUUAGCACAAGCAAG